AGAGACUGCGCCUGCGCGGGCACGAGACAACCUCUCCGCGAUGACUGCCAGCUCAGUAGAGCAGCUGCGGAAGGAGGGCAAUGAGCUGUUCAAAUGUGGAGACUACGGGGGCGCUCUGGCGGCCUACACUCAGGCCCUGGGUCUGGACGCGACGCCCCAGGACCAGGCCAUUCUGCACCGGAACCGGGCCGCCUGCCACCUCAAGCUGGAAGAUUACGACAAAGCAGAAACAGAGGCAUCCAAAGGUAGGGGAAUGGUGGGCCCUGGUGUGGAGCUGUAGGGCUUCUGUGGUGGGCAAGGACUCUGGGACCGCUGCACCGUCACAUUCUCCUCCUUUGGCCCCAGAGACACAUCUGCCUUCUUUCUUUCCCACUGCCUCGGGCCUUUCCUUUUCUGCAGCUACCCUCACCUUUUCUGAGGCUGAAGCACCGAGCCCCACAUUCGUCCCCCCCACCUUCUUCUGGCCUUUCCUCGAGAUCUUUCCCUACUGCUCUUGCCUGGAGACAGUGGCCUCAUGGGUGCUGACAGCGCUCCUGUUUGUGCUCAGCCAUUGAAAAGGAUGGUGGGGAUGUCAAAGCACUCUACCGGCGGAGCCAAGCCCUAGAGAAGCUGGGCCGCCUGGACCAGGCUGUCCUUGACCUGCAGAGAUGUGUGAGCUUGGAGCCCAAGAACAAAGUUUUCCAGGAGGCCUUGCGGAACAUCGGGGGCCAGAUUCAGGAGAAGGUGCGAUACAUGUCCUCGACGGAUGCCAAAGUGGAACAGAUGUUUCA
rnacentral:sRNA from 1 species